GAAAGUAAAAAAGGGCGCAUGGCGGAUGCCUUGGCUCUCGGAGGCGAUGAAGGACGUGAUAAGCUGCGAUAAGCUUUGGGGAGGUGCAAAUGACCUUUGAUCCAGAGAUUUCCGAAUGGGACAACCCAAUAUCUUGAAGAGGUAUUAUCCAACGUUGUUGGAGGCUAACGCAGGGAACUGAAACAUCUUAGUACCUGCAGGAAAAGAAAAUAAACAAUGAUUCCCCCAGUAGUGGCGAGCGAACGGGGAACAGCCCAAACCAUCCAUGUUACGGCAUGGGUGGGGUUGUAGGACUACGCCGUUGCAUGAAGACAUCAGAGAAGAACUUUCUGGAAAGAAAGACCAUAGAGCAUGACAGUUGCGUAUUCGAAUGUUGUCGAAGCAUAGUAGUAUCCUGAGUAGCGCGGAGCACGAGGAAUUCUGCGUGAAUCUGCCGGGACCAUCCGGUAAGGCUAAAUACUCCCGAGAGACCGAUAGCGAACCAGUACCGUGAGGGAAAGGUGAAAAGCACUUCGAACAGAAGAGUGAAAUAGUUCCUGAAACCGUGCGCCUACAAGCGGUCGGAGCUCGUUAAUGAGUGACGGCGUGCCUUUUGCAUAAUGAACCUACGAGUUGCCUUUGCCGGCAAGGUUAAGUGUGACGACACACGUAUCCGAAGCGAAAGCGAGUCUGAAGAGGGCGUAUAGUCGGCAGUGGCAGACGCGAAACCAAGUGAUCUACCCUUGGCCAGGUUGAAGGCUGGGUAACACCAGCUGGAGGACCGCACCAAUAAGCGUUGAAAAGCUUCUGGAUGAGCUGAGGGUAGGGGUGAAAGGCUAAUCAAACUUGGAGAUAGCUCGUACUCCCCGAAAUGCAUUUAGGUGCAGCCUUGCGGGUUACUGAUGUGAGGUAGAGCGACUGAUAAGAUGCGAGGGCUUCACCGCCUAUCAAGUCUUGACAAACUCCGAAUGCGCAUCAGUUCUACCGCAGGAGUGAGGGCAUGGGUGCUAAGGUCCGUGCCCGAGAGGAGAAGAAUCCGGACCACCUGCUAAGGUCCCGAAAUGACAGCUAAGUUAAACUAACGAAGUCUGACUGCUAAGACAGCUAGGAUGUUGGCUUGGAAGCAGCCAUUCAUUUAAAGAGUGCGUAACAGCUCACUAGUCGAGGAGUCGGGCGUGGAUAAUAAUCGGGUAUGAAGUUGUCUACCGAAGCAGUGGGAUCAUUAAUAUGAUCGGUAGGGGAGCAUUCCAGUCAGCGUCGAAGGCGUACCGUGAGGUAUUCUGGAGCGUCUGGAAAAGCAAAUGUAGGUAUAAGUAACGAUAAAGGGGGCGGGAAACCCCCUCGCCGAAAGACUAAGGUUUCCUGAUCAACGCUAAUCGGAUCAGGGUCAGUCGGGUCCUAAGGCUCAGCCGAACGGCGAUGCCGAUGGCAGAAACGGUUAAUAUUCCGUUACUACCUUCAGGAGUGACGUGGAGACGCAGUAGUGACAGUGCCGCCAUCUGACGGAAUAGAUGGUUGAAGGGUGUAGGAGUCGAUCAUGGCAGGCAAAUCCACCAUGAGAUCCGAACCUGACAGUAUGCCGCGUCCUUCGGGACAAGGCAAUAGUGCGCGUAAGCAUGCUGCCGAGAAAAUCCGCUAAACUUAAUCCUGUAGGUACCCGUACCGCAAACGGACACACGUAGUCGGGAUGAAUAUUCUAAGGCGCUUGAGUGAUUCACGGUUAAGGAACUAGGCAAACUGACCCUGUAACUUCGGGAUAAAGGGUCCCUACCCUUUUAUGGGAGGGCGCAGAGAAUCGGUCCAGGCAACUGUUUAACAAAAACACAGGGCUGUGCCAAAUCGAAAGAUCCAGUAUACAGCCUGACACCUGCCCGGUGCUGGAAGGUUAAGAGGAGAUGUCAUCGAUAAGAGAAGCGUUGAAUUGAAGCCCCAGUAAACGGCGGCCGUAACUAUAACGGUCCUAAGGUAGCGAAAUUCCUUGUCGGGUAAGUUCCG
rnacentral:rRNA from 1 species